rnacentral:rRNA from 1 species
CCUACGGGUGGCUGCAGUGGGGAAUAUUGGGCAAUGGGCGCAAGCCUGACCCAGCAACGCCGCGUGAAGGAAGAAGGCUUUCGGGUUGUAAACUUCUUUUAUCAGGGACGAAGCAAGUGACGGUACCUGAUGAAUAAGCCACGGCUAACUACGUGCCAGCAGCCGCGGUAAUACGUAGGUGGCAAGCGUUAUCCGGAUUUACUGGGUGUAAAGGGCGUGUAGGCGGGAGUGCAAGUCAGAUGUGAAAACUAUGGGCUCAACCCAUAGCCUGCAUUUGAAACUGUACUUCUUGAGUGCUGGAGAGGCAAUCGGAAUUCCGUGUGUAGCGGUGAAAUGCGUAGAUAGUUGGAAGAACACCGAUGGCGAAGGUAGCCCCCUGGGACGCAACUGACGCGCAUACACGAAAGCGUGGGGAGCAAACAGGAUUAGAUACCCCAGUAGUC